UACGAAGGGGGCUAGCGUUGCUCGGAAUCACUGGGCGUAAAGCGCACGUAGGCGGCUUUUUAAGUCAGGGGUGAAAUCCUGGAGCUCAACUCCAGAACUGCCUUUGAUACUGAGAGGCUUGAGUCCGGGAGAGGUGAGUGGAACUGCGAGUGUAGAGGUGAAAUUCGUAGAUAUUCGCAAGAACACCAGUGGCGAAGGCGGCUCACUGGCCCGGUACUGACGCUGAGGUGCGAAAGCGUGGGGAGCGAAUAGG
rnacentral:rRNA from 1 species